CCUACGGGAGGCAGCAGUGGGGAAUUUUGGACAAUGGGCGCAAGCCUGAUCCAGCAAUGCCGCGUGAGUGAAGAAGGCCUUCGGGUUGUAAAGCUCUUUUGUCAGGGAAGAAACGGUUGGGGCUAAUAUCCUCAGCUAAUGACGGUACCUGAAGAAUAAGCACCGGCUAACUACGUGCCAGCAGCCGCGGUAAUACGUAGGGUGCAAGCGUUAAUCGGAAUUACUGGGCGUAAAGCGUGCGCAGGCGGUUUUGUAAGUCUGUCGUGAAAGCCCCGGGCUUAACCUGGGAAUUGCGAUGGAGACUGCAAGGCUUGAAUCUGGCAGAGGGGGGUAGAAUUCCACGUGUAGCAGUGAAAUGCGUAGAGAUGUGGAGGAACACCGAUGGCGAAGGCAGCCCCCUGGGUCAAGAUUGACGCUCAUGCACGAAAGCGUGGGGAGCAAACAGGAUUAGAUACCCUGGUAGUCCACGCCCUAAACGAUGUCUACUAGUUGUCGGGUCUUAAUUGACUUGGUAACGCAGCUAACGCGUGAAGUAGACCGCCUGGGGAGUAACGGUCGCAAGAUUAAAACUUCAAAGGAAUUGACGG
rnacentral:rRNA from 1 species